rnacentral:misc_RNA from 1 species
GCAAAAUAAGAGAUUGGAAGAUAAAAAUAUGGUCAAAGUAAUAAGAGUCUAUGGUGGAUGCCUAGGAGCUUUAAGGCGAAGAAGGUCGUGGUAAGCUGCGAAAAGCUUGGGGGAUAAGCAAACAUUUAUUGAUCCCAAGAUUACCGAAUGGAGUAAUCCAGCUAGCAAGAUGCUAGCUAUCUAUUAUCUAAAUAAUAGAGGCGAUACCAGGGGAAGUGAACCAUCUAAGUACCCUG